rnacentral:misc_RNA from 1 species
AACGCACAUUGCGCCCCUUGGUAUUCCAUGGGGCAUGCCUGUUCGAGCGUCAUUUUGUACCCUCAAGCACUGCUUGGUGUUGGGCGUUUGUCCUGCAAAGGACUCGCCUGAAAGCGAUUGGCGGCCAACGUACUGGUGGUAGAGCGCAGCACAAUUUGCGUCUCUCCCUGCUACGUCGGCGUCCAUGAAGCCCAUUUUCAACGUUUGACCUCGGAUCAGGUAGGGAUACCCGCUGGACUUAA